ACGUUGCAAUAGAUAUGCUACUGGAGAUAUAACCCAAGGAGGGUUAAAUUCCGGCAGGCCGCCGGUCGUAAUACUCAUGCCAAAUGCCUAUGCAGCAUUGUAUAUAUACAUACAUGCUGUACCGAACCCACGUAACAUGACAUAAGGGUAAGAAGAAGAAAAAGUGUUUAUUGUCUCCAUUGUUGUCUAUUGGCUUGCACUACACAACUACAUGAUUAUCUACGUGUUCAAGUAUGUAUACAAUAAAUUAUUAUAAUAAAAAAUCAUUAUAGGCACCUAAAAAGAUGUCAAAUGUUAAAUCACGCAUAUAGUUCAGAAGCGUGAGAAAUGCAUUAGUUGAUCGGUAAAGACGUAAGCAAUUCAAAUUUAAAUUUAAAUAAAAUCGUUCAUCGAACGAACAAAUGCUGAAGUCUAGCAAAAAAUAUCCGUCAAUCGCAUUCAAGGCUGCUGACAACAUUUAAAAGUUUAAUUAUUGAGUAAAUGGAGAACCGUGUCCGUACAAUAGUUGUUUUUGAAAAUUAACAUGACUCAAUUUAUGAACUGUCAUUUUGAUGAACGGUCAAUAUUCAUGGACAAAUGUAACAUUUAUGACCGCACGAGAUGAUUCCACUCGGGGCGAAAAACUAUAUUUUUAAAACUCCAUCAAGCGUAUUUCAAUAUUUACCAACAUACAGAAGAUCUCAUUACUCAGGUGAAUUAUUUGGAAGCAACAGAAAAAAGUCGACGCGUCAUAAUUAGGUCAUCAAAAAUUAUCUGUGAUGUUAAUUUGCAGAGAUUAAUGGAUAUAACGAUGUAUAAGUGUGAGAAUUAUGAAUGGCUUCACGAAAAUGC